UUUCUCGCUUCUGUGUCCUCUCUCGCCACUCUCCCUACCGUUUCUAGAAACCUCACCACAAACACAUUGCUCAAAAUAAGCAAAUCCAAUAGAAACAACAAUAGCAAAUUAAUUAAAGGAAAAUAAAAAAUAAAAAGAGUUCUUAUGCAGAUUAAUAAGUUCUGUCCAGAAUUGUCAUCGCACCAGACCAAAUUUCAUCGCCCAGAAAUUGAGAUUGCAUGCAAAGAAGAAAUGAAGUUGACGCUGGAUUAAUUCACUGGAAAGAACAAAUUGCUGCGACUCGGAAAUUACCACACCACCGCCUGAAUUAUAGCUAAUUGGAGUUUCCGAAGUCGAAACCCGGCCGGACGAAACUCUACUAACCAAUCGGUUAAUCCUUCUCAAUCCAGCGGUAGGUGUUCGGCGGGCAGAAACAAUCUGGGCGGCAAAGCAAACAAUACCAUGCAUCGAGACUACAACAUCUGUAAGACGACUGGAACUAAGCUGUCUGGAUAGAGUUACAAAGAAGAGAUACAUACAGUGAACACCUUCUUUGGACGAGUUCCAAAAGAAAAGGAUGUUGGAAUUAACUCAAUAGUAGAUUCCUGAGGAUGUGCUGAGGAUGAAGCUGCGCACCCAUAUGAUUGCGAUCGAGAUUAAUGUUUACCCUAGCAACCUAGAAUCAACAUGAAACCAUUUUGGAUCCACAACCUGACCAACUUACAAUUAAUUGAAUUCAAGAUAAGAGGUUUUUAGUGUUU